rnacentral:rRNA from 1 species
UACGAAGGGGGCUAGCGUUGCUCGGAAUCACUGGGCGGUAAAGGGUGCGUAGGCGGGUCUUUAAGUCAGGGGUGAAAUCCUGGAGCUCAACUCCAGAACUGCCUUUGAUACUGAAGAUCUUGAGUUCGGGAGAGGUGAGUGGAACUGCGAGUGUAGAGGUGAAAUUCGUAGAUAUUCGCAAGAACACCAGUGGCGAAGGCGGCUCACUGGCCCGAUACUGACGCUGAGGCACGAAAGCGUGGGGAGCAAACAGGG